GUGGGUGUAGUUCAGAGAUCGAGUACAUGCUUAGCAUGCACGAGGCUCUGGGUUCAAUCCCCAGCACCCAAA
rnacentral:tRNA from 1 species